GUCUCAGUAGCGUAGUGGUUACCGCACGAACCCCGGUCAGGCGCGGUAUGCGGGUUCGAAUCCCGCCUGAGAUG
rnacentral:tRNA from 1 species